GAUGUCAAAUAUGAUGGCUCAACCAUCAAGAGGCGUUGAAAACUGUUUAUCUAGAAUCUCGGAGAGGUAAGUGGAAGUUCCAUGUGUAGCGGUGGAAUGCGUAGAUAUAUGGAGGAACACCAAUGGCGAAGGCAGCUUACUGGACGAAGAUUGACGCUGAGGUGCGAAAGCGUGGGGUAGCAAACAGGAUUAGAUACCCUGGUAG
rnacentral:rRNA from 1 species